rnacentral:rRNA from 1 species
UACAGAGGGGGCAAGCGUUGUUCGGAAUUACUGGGCGUAAAGGGCGCGUAGGCGGCCUGCUAAGUCGAACGUGAAAUCCCUGGGCUCAACCCAGGAACUGCGUCCGAUACUGGUUGGCUUGAAUCCGGGAGAGGGAUGUGGAAUUCCAGGUGUAGCGGUGAAAUGACGUAGAUAUCUGGAGGAACGACCGGUGGCGAAGGCGACAUCCUGGACCGGUAUGACGCUGAGGCGCGAAAGCCAGGGGA